UUUAGGAACCGGUGUUUCUAAGAUGGUCACCGAUGAUGUUAAAGCAGUUGGACCUUUAGGUGGCGGUUUUAUAGGAAAGUGAGCAGCACGGAGCAUUCAUUGAUUGUCCAUAACAUAGAUUUAACCAAAUAUGGACAUCGGUCUUUCAAUAAAGUGUUAUUGUCUGUA